rnacentral:rRNA from 1 species
AUUGAACGCUGGCGGAAUGCUUUACGCAUGCAAGUCGAACGGCAGCACGGACUUCGGUCUGGUGGCGAGUGGCGAACGGGUGAGUAAUACAUCGGAACGUGCCCAGUCGUGGGGGAUAACGUAGCGAAAGCUACGCUAAUACCGCAUACGAUCUAAGGAUGAAAGCGGGGGAUCGCAAGACCUCGCGCGAUUGGAGCGGCCGAAGGCAGAUUAGGUAGUUGGUAGGGUAAAGGCCUACCAAGCCGACGAUCUGUAGCUGGUCUGAGAGGAUGAUCGUCCACAAGGUGACUGAGACACGGCCCAGACUCCUACGGGAGGCAGCAGUGGGGAAGGUUGGGCAAUGGGCGCAAGCCUGAUCCAGCCAUUCCGCGUGCAGGAUGAAGGCCUUCGGGUUGUAGACUGCUUUUGUACAGAACGAAAAGGCUCUGGUUAAUACCCGGGGCUCAUGACGGUACUGUAAGAAUAAGCACCGGCUAACUCUGUGCCAGCCGCCGCAGUAA